rnacentral:rRNA from 1 species
GAUGAACGCUGGCGGCGUGCCUAAUACAUGCAAGUCGAGCGAACAGACGAGGAGCUUGCUCCUCUGACGUUAGCGGCGGACGGGUGAGUAACACGUGGAUAACCUACCUAUAAGACUGGGAUAACUUCGGGAAACCGGAGCUAAUACCGGAUAAUAUAUUGAACCGCAUGGUUCAAUAGUGAAAGACGGUUUUGCUGUCACUUAUAGAUGGAUCCGCGCCGGAUUAGCUAGUUGGUAAGGUAACGGCUUACCAAGGCAACGAUGCGUAGCCGACCUGAGAGGGUGAUCGGCCACACUGGAGCUGAGACACGGUCCAGACUCCUACGGGAGGCAGCAGUAGGGAAUCUUCCGCAAUGGGCGAAAGCCUGACGGAGCAACGCCGCGUGAGUGAUGAAGGUCUUCGGAUCGUAAAACUCUGUUAUUAGGGAAGAACAAAUGUGUAAGUAACUAUGCACGUCUUGACGGUACCUAAUCAGAAAGCCACGGCUAACUACGUG